CCUACGGGGGGCUGCAGUGGGGAAUCUUCGGCAAUGGACGAAAGCCUGACGCAGCAAUGCCGCGUGAGCGAAGAAGGCCUUCGGAUCGUAAAGCUCUGUUGUCCGGGACGAACAAGCGUGGGAGAAAAUGACGCGACCUUGACGGUACUUAAAGAGGAAGCACCGGCUAACUACGUGCCAGCAGCCGCGGUAAUACGUAGGGGGCAAGCGUUGUCCGGAAUUAGUGGGCGUAAAGCGCGCGCAGGCGGUCUUUUAAGUCUGAUGUGAAAUCUUGCGGCUCAACCGCAAGCGGUCGUUGGAAACUGGGAGGCUUGAGUGCAGAAGAGGGAAGCGGAAUUCCACGUGUAGCGGUGAAAUGCGUAGAGAUGUGGAGGAACACCAGUGGCGAAGGCGGCCUUCUGGGCUGUAACUGACGCUGAGGCGCGAAAGCGUGGGGAGCAAACAGGAUUAGAUACCCCUGUAGUC
rnacentral:rRNA from 1 species